rnacentral:sRNA from 1 species
GAGAGAAUGAAAAAUGGCUACUGGUACUCAAAUGGUACUGGAAGUAAAAAAGAAUAAACUAAAUAAUUCUUCCAAGGACUUUACAUUUGGAUAAAAUAAUUAGACCGUAGUUUUAGGA